rnacentral:rRNA from 1 species
AUUGAACGCUGCGGCAGGCCUAACACAUGCAAGUCGACGGUACCAGGAAGAAGCUUGCUUCUUUGCUGACGAGUGCGACGGGUGAGUAAUGUCUGGGAAACUGCCUGAUGGUAGUGGGAUAACUACUGGUAACGGUAGCUAAUUCCGCAUAACGUCGCAAGACCAAAGAGGGGGACCUUCGGGCCUCUUGCCAUCGGAUGUGCCCAAUGGGAUUAGCUAGUAGGUGCGGGUAACGGCUCACCUAGGCGACGAUCCCUAGCUGGUCUGAGAGGAUGACCAGCCACACUGGAACUGAGACUACGGUCCAGACUCCUACGGGAGGCAGCAGUGGGGAAUAUUGCACAAUGGGCGCAAGCCUGAUGCAGCCAUGCCGGCGUGUAUGAAGAAGGCCUUCGGGUUGUAAAGUACUUUCAGCGGGGAGGAAGGGAGUAAAGUUAAUACCUUUGCUCAUUGACGUUACCCGCAGAAGAAGCACCGGCU